UAAUUCUUUUCAGCUCUUGUAAGACCUCUGCUUGCAUAUGCUAUUACUUUCUUCAGUCCAUGAUGUUCUUGGUACAAAACUGCUCCUAGUCCAUUUUGACAGGCAUCGGUAUGUAAUUCAAACGGCUUGUUGAAGUCUGGAAAGGUAAGUAUUGGUGGUGAUGAUAAAUGUUGUUUUAGUUGAUGGAAUGCUGUUUCUUGUUCUUUAUUCCAUAUCCAAGGUUUACGUUGUUGUUUCUGAUCUUUCUUUCCUCUUACUUUUCUUCCUGUUGAUGGCAUAAGAUCAGUGAGUGGACGUGCGAUCUUUGAGAAAUCUCGUAUAAACUUCCUGUAAUAACCCACGAAUCCAAGAAAUUGGCGGACUUCUUCUGCUGUUGUUG
rnacentral:lncRNA from 1 species